UACAGAGGGGGCAAGCGCUAUUCGGAAUUAUUGGGCGUAAAGGGUGCGUAGGCGGGUUUUUAAGUCAGGGGUGAAAUCCUGGAGCUCAACUCCAGAACUGCCUUUGAUACUGAAGAUCUUGAGUCCGGGAGAGGUGAGUGGAACUGCGAGUGUAGAGGUGAAAUUCGUAGAUAUUCGCAAGAACACCAGUGGCGAAGGCGGCUCACUGGCCCGGUACUGACGCUGAGGCACGAAAGCGUGGGGAGCAAACAGG
rnacentral:rRNA from 1 species